rnacentral:rRNA from 1 species
UACGUAGGGACCAAGCGUUGUUCGGAUUUACUGGGCGUAAAGGGCGCGUAGGCGGCAAAUUAAGCCAUCUGUGAAAUCUCCGAGCUUAACUCGGAACGGUCAGGUGAUACUGAUCUGCUAGAGUGCGGAAGGGGCAAUCGGAAUUCUUGGUGUAGCGGUGAAAUGCGUAGAUAUCAAGAGGAACACCUGAGGUGAAGACGGGUUGCUGGGCCGACACUGACGCUGACAGCGCGAAAGCCAGGGGAGCAAACGGG